UAAUACAGAGGGGGCAAGCGUUGUCCGGAUUUACUGGGCGUAAAGCGCGCGCAGGCGGUGGCCGAGGUGCCGUGUGACAGGCGGGGGCUCAACCCCCGGUUCGCAGGGUAGACCGGGUCACUGGAGGCAGGGAGAGGGAUGUGGAAUGGCCGGUGGAGCGGUGAAAUGCGUAGAGAUCGGCCGGAACACCAGCGGCGAAGGCGGCAUCCUGGUCCUGACCUGACGCUGAGGCGCGAGAGCGUGGGGAGCGAACUGGAUUAGAUACCCAGGUAGUCCACGCCGUAAACGAUGUGCACCCGGCGCUGGGGCGUGAUUGCGCGCCUCGGUGCCCGAGCUUACGCGAUGAGUGCACCGCCUGGGGAGUACGGCCGCAAGGCUA
rnacentral:rRNA from 1 species